rnacentral:rRNA from 1 species
UACGGGGGGAGCAAGCGUUGUUCGGAUUUACUGGGCGUAAAGGGCGCGUAGGCGGCCACCGCAAGUCGACUGUGAAAUCUCCGGGCUUAACCCGGAAAGGUCAGCCGAUACUGCGGGGCUAGAGUGCAGAAGGGGCAACUGGAAUUCUCGGUGUAGCGGUGAAAUGCGUAGAUAUCGAGAGGAACACCUGCGGCGAAGGCGGGUUGCUGGGCUGACACUGACGCUGAGGCGCGAAAGCGCGGGGAUCAAACAGG